AUUGAACGCUGGCGGCAUGCCUUACACAUGCAAGUCGAACGGCAGCACGGGAGCAAUCCUGGUGGCGAGUGGCGAACGGGUGAGUAAUAUAUCGGAACGUGCCCAGUCGUGGGGGAUAACGUAGCGAAAGCUACGCUAAUACCGCAUACGAUCUAUGGAUGAAAGCGGGGGAUCGCAAGACCUCGCGCGAUUGGAGCGGCCGAUAUCAGAUUAGGUAGUUGGUGAGGUAAAGGCUCACCAAGCCGACGAUCUGUAGCUGGUCUGAGAGGACGGCCAGCCACACUGGGGCUGAGACACGGCCCAGACUCCUACGGGGGGCAGCAGUGGGGAAGUUUGGACAAUGGGCGCAAGCCUGAUCCAGCAAUGCCGCGUGCAGGAUGAAGGCCUUCGGGUUGUAAACUGCUUUUGUACGGAGCGAAAAGGCUUCCACUAAUACUGGGGGCUCAUGACGGUACCGUAAGAAUAAGCACCGGCUAACUACGUGCCAGCCGCCGCCGUAACAC
rnacentral:rRNA from 1 species